rnacentral:rRNA from 1 species
CAAUAGCGUAUAUUAAAGUUGUUGCAGUUAAAAAGCUCGUAGUUGGAUUUCUGGUAGGAGUGACCGUUCCGAACUUAAUUGUUCGUGUAUUGUGUUUUCUCCAGCCAUCCUUGUGGAGAACUUUUCUUGCAUUAAUUUGUAGGGAUUGGGACCCGCAUCGUUUACUGUGAAAAAAUUAGAGUGUUUAAAGCAGGCAAUCGCUUGAAUACAUUAGCAUGGAAUAAUAAGAUAGGACUUUGGUACUAUUUUGUUGGUUUGCAUACCAAAUUAAUGAUCAACAGGAACAGUUUGAGGAUAUUCGUAUGAACAUGUCAGAGGUGAAAUUCUUGGAUUUUGAUCAGACGAACUACUGCGAAAGCAUUUAUCAAGGAUGUUUUCAUUAA